rnacentral:rRNA from 1 species
GAAUAUUGGACAAUGGGCGACAGCCUGAUCCAGCAAUGCCGCGUGAGUGAUGAAGGCCCUCGGGUCGUAAAGCUCUUUUACCAGGGAUGAUAAUGACAGUACCUGGAGAAUAAGCUCCGGCUAACUCCGUGCCAGCAGCCGCGGUAAUACGGAGGGAGCUAGCGUUGUUCGGAAUUACUGGGCGUAAAGCGCGCGUAGGCGGUCUGCCAAGUCAGGGGUGAAAUCCCGGGGCUCAACCCCGGAACUGCCCUUGAAACUAUCAGACUAGAAUUUUGGAGAGGCGAGUGGAAUUCCGAGUGUAGAGGUGAAAUUCGUAGAUAUUCGGAAGAACACCAGUGGCGAAGGCGACUCGCUGGACAAGUAUUGACGCUGAGGUGCGAAAGCGUGGGGAGCAAACAGG